rnacentral:rRNA from 1 species
AACGAACGCUGGCGGCAUGCCUAACACAUGCAAGUCGAACGGGAUCCUGGCUUCGGCCAGGUGAGAGUGGCGGACGGGUGAGUAACGCGUGGGAACCUGCCCAUUGGUCUGGGAUAACUGCGGGAAACUGCAGCUAAUACCGGAUGUACCCGAGAGGGGAAAGAUUUAUCGCCGAUGGAGGGGCCCGCGUCAGAUUAGGUAGUUGGUGAGGUAACGGCUCACCAAGCCUACGAUCUGUAGCUGGUCUGAGAGGAUGAUCAGCCACACUGGGACUGAGAUACGGCCCAGACUCCUACGGGAGGCAGCAGUGGGGAAUAUUGGACAAUGGGGGCAACCCUGAUCCAGCAAUGCCGCGUGAGUGAUGAAGGCCUUAGGGUUGUAAAGCUCUUUUGCCAGGGACGAUGAUGACGGUACCUGGAGAAUAAGCCCCGGCUAACUUCGUGCCAGCCGCCGCUGUAAUAC